rnacentral:rRNA from 1 species
AGCGAACGCUGGCGGCAGGCCUAACACAUGCAAGUCGAACGGACCCUUCGGGGUUAGCGGCGGACGGGUGAGUAACACGUGGGAACGUGCCUUUAGGUUCGGAAUAGCUCCUGGAAACGGGUGGUAAUGCCGAAUGUGCCCUUCGGGGGAAAGAUUUAUCGCCUUUAGAGCGGCCCGCGUCUGAUUAGCUAGUUGGUGAGGUAAUGGCUCACCAAGGCGACGAUCAGUAGCUGGUCUGAGAGGAUGACCAGCCACAUUGGGACUGAGACACGGCCCAAACUCCUACGGGAGGCAGCAGGGGGUAAUCUUGCGCAAUGGCCGAAAGCCUGACGCAGCCAUGCCGCGUGGAUGAUGAAGGUCUUAGGAAUGUAAAAUCCUUUCACCGGUGAAGAUAAUGACUGUAGCCGGAGAAGAAGCCCCGGCUAAGUUCGUGCCAGCCGCCGCGGUAA